ACCAGGUGCAGUGGCAUGUGCCUGUAGUCCCAGCUACUCAGGAGGCUGAGGUGGGAGGAUCACUUGAGCCCAGGAGUUCUGGGCUGUAGUGCACUAUGCUGAUCGUUUGUCUGCACUAAGUUCGGCAUCAAUAUGGUGACCUCCCGGAAGCGGGGGACCACCAGGUUGCCUAAGGAGGGGUGUACCGGCCCAGGUCGGAAACCGAGCAGGUCAAAACAACUCCCAUGCUUAUCAGUGGUGGGAUCAUGCCUGUGAAUAGCCACUGCACUCCAGCCUGGGCAACAUAGCAAGACCCCGUCUCA
rnacentral:SRP_RNA from 1 species